rnacentral:rRNA from 1 species
CAAUAGCGUAUAUUUAAGUUGUUGCAGUUAAAAAGCUCGUAGUUGGAUUUCGGAUGGGACUUGCCGGUCCGUCGUUUCGAUGUGCACUGGCCAGUCCUAUCUUGUUGUUGGGGACUAGCUCCUGGGCUUCACUGUCCGGGACUAGGAGCUGACGAGGUUACUUUGAGUAAAUUAGAGUGUUCAAAGCAAGCCUACGCUCUGAAUACAUUAGCAUGGAAUAACACGAUAGGACUCUGGCUUAUCUUGUUGGUCUGUGAGACCAGAGUAAUGAUUAAGAGGGACAGUCGGGGGCAUUCGUAUUUCAUUGUCAGAGGUGAAAUUCUUGGAUUUAUGAAAGACGAACUUCUGCGAAAGCAUUUGUCAAGGAUGUUUUCAUUAA